rnacentral:rRNA from 1 species
GACGAACGCUGGCGGCGUGCUUAACACAUGCAAGUCGAACGGAAAGGCCCUGCUUUUGUGGGGUGCUCGAGUGGCGAACGGGUGAGUAACACGUGAGUAACCUGCCCUUGACUUUGGGAUAACUUCAGGAAACUGGGGCUAAUACCGGAUAGGAGCUCCUGCUGCAUGGUGGGGGUUGGAAAGUUUCGGCGGUUGGGGAUGGACUCGCGGCUUAUCAGCUUGUUGGUGGGGUAGUGGCUUACCAAGGCUUUGACGGGUAGCCGGCCUGAGAGGGUGACCGGCCACAUUGGGACUGAGAUACGGCCCAGACUGCUACGGGAGGCAGCAGGGGGGAAUAUUGCGCAAUGGGCGGAAGCGUGAUGCAGCAACGCCGCGUGCGGGAUGAGGGCCUUCGGGUUGUAAACCGCUGUGGCCUGUGACGAAGCGUGAGUGACGGUAAUGGGUAAAGAAGCACCGGCUAACUACGUG